rnacentral:rRNA from 1 species
UUUAACUGAAGAGUUUGAUCAUGGCUCAGAUUGAACGCUGGCGGCAGGCUUAACACAUGCAAGUCGAGCGGGGGAAGGUAGCUUGCUACUGGACCUAGCGGCGGACGGGUGAGUAAUGCUUAGGAAUCUGCCUAUUAGUGGGGGACAACAUCUCGAAAGGGAUGCUAAUACCGCAUACGUCCUACGGGAGAAAGCAGGGGAUCUUC